GGAGAGGGCGAGCGUUGUUCGGAUUUACUGGGCGUAAAGGGCAUGUAGGUGUCCCGAUAAGCUCUGGGUGAAAUCUCCGCGCUCAACGCGGAAACGAAUCAGAGAACUAUCGGGAUUGAGUUUAGAAGAAGAGAGUGGAAUUCUCGGUGUAGCGGUGAAAUGCGUAGAUAUCGAGAAGAACACCAGCGGCGAAGGCGGCUCUCUAUUCUGAAACUGACACUCAAAUGCGAAAGCGUGGGGGGAGCGAAUGGGAUUAGAUACCCCAGUAGUCCACGCUGUAAACGAUGUGCACUUGGUGUAUUCCCUUUUUAAGGGGGUGUGCCGGAGCUAACGCGUUAAGUGCACCGCCUGGGAGUACGGCCGCAAGGCUA
rnacentral:rRNA from 1 species